rnacentral:tRNA from 1 species
GCCCGACUAGUUCUGUUGGUAAAGCAUGAGACUCAUAAUCUCAUUGGUAGUGGGUUCGUGUUCCAUGUUAGGUG